AUUUUUAGUUUAUAUCGGCAAUACCUCCUCCUUCUAACUCUGAUUUGCAAAAUAUAUGCUACAGUUUUCACAUUUUGCUUUGAAGAUCUUCUUGUGUUCUUAGUCUAUGAAUUUGUGCUUUGAGGAGCUAAUGUGUGUAAGGGUAGUCCGAGAUACAUAUUUACAUUUGUUUAUCAUGUAGGGAGGAGUUUGAGAAGAUUGAAGAUUUUGCUUCCAGACUACCAGUUGAGAGUUGGAACUGUUGCAAACUACAUACGGUACGAUCUGUUGAUGGUUUUCAAGGCGGUGAAGAGGAUGUGAUAAUUAUCUCUACUGUUUGUUGUAACAGCAGUGGAUCAGUUGGUUUUCUGUCGAAUCUUCAGAGAGCAAAUAUUGCAUUGACGCGAGCAAGCUUCUUGUGCAGAUACUGUCUUUGGAUAUUGGGAAAUGGCUCAACGUUGGUUAACAGUGGUUCUGUAUGGAAGAAUCUAGUCGUUGAUGCUAAGGCUCGUGGUUGUUAAUUUGAUGUUACUGAUGGCAACAGAUUGAAUCAGGCAAUUUUGAAUGCAACCAUUGAACUUGACAAGCUCGAUACAUUACUCAGAACGGACUCUCCUAUAUUCGAAUCAGCCCAGUGGAAGAGGUUGAAGAGAAUGAAGGAUGGAGUGAGAGAAAUGAGACAAUGGUGUCACCUUAUGAUUCAAGAAGAAGAAACUUCCCAUGAAGAAAACAGGAUUGUUACGCCAAGUGAUGCGGCUAGUGAACCCGUUUGGCCCAUGGAUGCAAGGAGAUUACGAUGAUAAUGAUCAUAAUGACAUUCUUUGAUUUUGUUGCAUUUGUUUUAGAUAUUCAAUUAUGAUGAUGUAAUUGUGUGGUUGGAGUGAAUCUUAGAAUAUUGAAGGUUUUGUGUUUAAAUUUGAUUUUGUAGUUUGAAUAUACUAGUUAAUGUUGAAAAUUUAGAGUUUGAAGA